GACGAACGCUGGCGGCGUGCUUAACACAUGCAAGUCGAGCGGUAAGGCCCUUUCGGGGGUACACGAGCGGCGAACGGGUGAGUAACACGUGGGUGACCUGCCCUCAGCUCUGGGAUAAGCCUGGGAAACCGGGUCUAAUACUGGAUAUGACUCCAUGACGCAUGUUGUGGGGUGGAAAGCCUUGUGCGGCUGAGGAUGGGCCCGCGGCCUAUCAGCUUGUUGGGGGGUGAUGGCCUACCAAGGCGACGACGGGUAGCCGGCCUGAGAGGGCGACCGGCCACACUGGGACUGAGACACGGCCCAGACUCCUACGGGAGGCAGCAGUGGGGAAUCUUGCGCAAUGGGCGAAAGCCUGACG
rnacentral:rRNA from 1 species